rnacentral:lncRNA from 1 species
AAUGUCAAAAUCCCGAUACGUAAUUGCUGAUACAUAACGUAUUGACCAAUCUUUAGAAUAUUCUUCCAGAUGAAUAUUUGCUACGGAAUUGAGAAGAGCAUUGAUCUCCAUGUCACUAAGGCUGUUUGGUUCAAGGAUUUACGGACGGAUUUAUUAUGUGAGAGGAAAAUAGUAGAAAAAACUUAGCAUCCCUUCACAAAUCAUUGAUCUGAAUACAGCGUGAAAGAAUGAUAUUUCACAUAGAUGCCCAUAGGAAGGGAACUAAAGAGCAUGCCUUUCCAUAUAAGAGAUGGGAAAACCUGAUGUACAGUGUCUGCAGGGAGCACCUUGGCAAGUCCAAGUUUUGUUCAUAUUGCAAGAGAACACCAUUAGUGCCGCUUCUACGUAUAGAUCUGAAUAUGCACCAGCAAGACAAAAGAACAACACAAACAAUUAGCUACCGGAAAGGAAAUAAAUAGGAUUCUCCUACAAACAAGUCAUUCAAGUACUUACGUUAUAUUAUUGUAUGAUUAUAGAAAUAAAUUGAUGGAGUUGGAAAACAGUUGCAAAUUUAAUUAAAGAUUUAAAAACUGCCUCUCUUCUUCAUAGUUUAUGAAAACUUGCCUAUCGUUCUGGGAAGAUCCUAUGGUUUAUUUGUACGUGUAGUGAUCGCUUUUAUGGAGAGAGACCAAACAUGCACAAAGUGAUUGCCGCUCUCAAUAGUCCAUUAUAUUAAUUAUUUGUAAAUGGGCAAAGAAAGUAACUGUGGGGUUGUGAGUAUUUGAAUGGAAGAAGAGAAAUCAAAAAUAAA